UUAGGACGAACGCUGGCGGCGUGCUUAACACAUGCAAGUCGAACGGGAGUAUUGAAGAAGCUUGCUUAGAGAUACUUUAGUGGCGGACGGGUGAGUAACGCGUGAGGAGCUGUCCUAUGCAGGGGGACAACAGCUGGAAACGGCUGCUAAUACCCCAUAAGCCGAGAGGUAAAAGGAUCAAUCCGGCAGAGGAGGUACUCGCGUCCUAUCAGCUAGUAGGUGAGGUAACGGCUCACCUAGGCGAAGACGGGUAGCCGGCCUGAGAGGGCGAACGGCCACACUGGAACUGAGAUACGGUCCAGACUCCUACGGGAGGCAGCAGUGGGGAAUAUUGGGCAAUGGGGGGAAAAACCCCCUGACCCAGCGACGCCGCGUGGGUGAAGAAAUCCUUCGGGAUGUAAAGCCCUGUUGUAUGGGAAGAGCGGAAGACGGUACCAUACGAGGAAGCCCCGGCAAACUACGUGCCAGCCGCCGC
rnacentral:rRNA from 1 species